rnacentral:rRNA from 1 species
UACGUAGGGGGCUAGCGUUGUCCGGAUUUAUUGGGCGUAAAGAGCGUGUAGGCGGCCAGGUAGGUCUGCUGUGAAAACUCGAGGCUUAACCUCGAGAUGUCAUCGGAAACCAUUUGGCUAGAGUCCGGAAGAGGAAAGUGGAAUUCCUGGUGUAGCGGUGAAAUGCGCAGAUAUCAGGAAGAACACCAAUGGCGAAAGCAGCUUUCUGGGACGGUACUGACGCUGAGACGCGAAAGCGUGGGGAGCGAACAGG